ACCGCCAUAGCUCAGUCGGUAGAGCAGUGGACUCUUAAUCCACGGGUCAAGGGUUCGAGCCCCUUUGGCGGUG
rfam:Cyanidioschyzon merolae strain 10D DNA, chromosome 20, complete genome.